ensembl:lncRNA novel transcript
GGGCGGGCUUUCGGGGAUGCGGUCUGGAUUCUGGAGGAGGCCUCGGCGCGCAGCUGGGCGAGUACUAACUGUUUGCACUCUCAUCAGACCUGCCUCGGUCAUGGGAGAAGUUGAAGACUUUCUGCAAUGCAGCAUCUUCAAGCAAUACACACAUGGAUGAAAAUCCUAAAGUUUGCAUGAAGGACCAAUAACGGUAGUUUCCCUGCCCCUCUACCAGAACCCCUGGGAUCAGCGCCUGCCUGCCUCCUUUCUUCUAUGUAAUCGGCGGCCACCUCCCCUAGCUCUUGCUGCUAACCAUGCUUCCCGGACACCUGCUGCCUUCGUAGGUCAGGGUCUCACCUCCUCGGGCCAAUUCUGACCAAACAGCACCCUGUGGGGUUGCCCUGUCUUAGUAAACUGCUGUUUAUCUCAUUGAAAUUCAGUUUAGGUCAUUUCACUCUUAUGUUUAAGAAACUUUUCUGCCCGAUCUCCUAUGAUAGCGGAUAUCUCCUCUAGCCUGUUUGAAUUUCUCAAGUGAUUUAUUUUACUGAAUAUAUUUGUGGCCUGUACUUUUCAGUGCCUAGAAACAGGCAAAGUGAGGGAGCUCCUUUGCUAGAUGAUCUUCAGAGCCUCUCCCAGCUGUGACCAGAAAUGGAAAGCCAGAGAAGGAUGCCUCGGGGUGGAAACGGGAUGACAGCCAGUGGUUUCUCCACACAUGGACUUGCCAGAACCUUUCCCGAAAUGCUAGGUUGGAAAACUCACAGCUGAUUAAUUACCGCAGUCCACGGCUUACUCCGUCGGGUGGACACAGCGUCCCUCCCCUCUGGAGGAUGCAGCAACAAAAUGCCUCCUUGGAAGCUGAGAGCAGCCCUCACUGGACAACAGAACCUGCUGGCGCUGUGAUCUUGGACUUCCCAACCUCCAGAACAGACUGACUGUAGUCAUAAAGCAGGAUGGACAGCAUCCAGCUGGGUCUUGAGUGGUGGCCCAUACCGAUGUGGACUCCCAUGAUCUGGACUGGCUGGGAGGAUGCUACUGCCUGGUGGCCCCACGCCUGUUGGCCAUGGGAGUUUUGGCCUUCACGUGUUAACUGAAAUAAUGAACACCAUGGUGCUCCAGGUCUCUCGCUCCCAUCCAGGCAUUCUCCACCUGAUAUCUCUCUGGAGGGUGGAUGCUUUUGUCAGCUGUGUCCUCAAUAAACUGCAACCAGGCAUGGGGCAAUGUGGAGGGAGGGAAGAGAUUUAAAUUCAUUUUCUGGGGGGAAGAGUCACCUCCUACUGGAAUCAAGAGCUAAAAAGAGUUCUCCCAUGUGUGCAGUGCCACGUAACUUCCGGUGUAAUGCCACGAAACACCCACACGUGGAAAACACAGUUGCCAGUUCUUCCUCCUCCACCGUGCAGCUCCGGGGAGCUGUGGGGAGCCAGCCCCCUCCAGAAUUAUCUGAUGCCAGCGUUGGCGUGGACAUAAUAAUGAACAAAUAAGCAUUUUUUUAAAUUGACAAGGUGAAAAAGAAGGUUUAGGAUUAAGGAAUCUUGCCUGAGGAUUAGUCGAAUGUCAGUGAGGAGAAAUAACACUGAAUAGACCCAAAAUAUGUUUUCAGGAAACCUCGAAAAUGCUUUCUGCAUAAUAUUAUAUCUCCCUCUGCUAGAACUGCCAAUUUUGAGUUUCUCACUAUUUUUAUUUUCUUGAGAAAUGAUCAUUUUUAUAAAUAGCCUUUUAAAUGUCAAACUAACUGGUUGAAUAAUUUAUCUCUACUUCUUAUCCUGAAUAACUCAACCCUUGCUUGAUUUUCUAAAGGGUUGGGGGAAAGGGGUUCUCAGACAUAAGCGCCCAGAAUAAAUCCUUCUGUCUGUUAGAGGCUUUGGCUGUCUCCUUUCCCGCGGGUGGUGUGGGCUCCCUGUGGCUGGAAGGCGGCUGUCCUUCCGACGGCUUGCUUCCGCUUGGCUCUGCUCGCUCUUCAGUCACAGCCACAGCAGGGUCCAUGAAGGCAGAUGACAGACGGGAACCCCCAAGAGGCACCUAACCAGGGAUCACGUGUGCUUUCCAUGAAGCCACAGGAGGACCAUGACUCACUCCUCAGAGCAGCAACCCAGGGCUGCGGCAUGAUGGGCCUGGUCGGCGCUGGGUGCCUCGUUCGGUGCCGGCAGGAACCAGCACGCACUCAGGCUGAUGAGACCAGGAGGGUCAGCUGGACCCUGACCAUGGUUCUCAAAGGGUGUGCCAGGACCUGCAACAGAAGCACCACUUGGGAACUUGUCAGAAAUGCAAAUUCUUGCCCCUCCUCUAGGCCCGCUGAAUCCUAAACUCUGGAGGUGGGGCCAAGCCAUCUGUGAAUGAACUCCCGCUCCGGGUCGCACCGACCCACCCUCACGUGUGAGAACCCCGGUCUAGGACCCUGGUUCUCCAACUCGCCUGUAUAUGUUUUCAAA